AUACAGAGGGUGCGAGCGUUAAGCGGAAUUACUGGGCGUAAAGCGCGCGUAGGCGGCUACUUAAGUCAGAUGUGAAAUCCCCGGGCUCAACCUGGGAACUGCAUCUGAUACUGGGUAGCUAGAGUUUAGGAGAGGGAAGUAGAAUUUCAGGUGUAGCGGUGAAAUGCAUAGAGAUCUGAAGGAAUACCAGUGGCGAAGGCGGCUUCCUGGCCUAAAACUGACGCUGAGGUGCGAAAGCGUGGGUAGCAAACGGGAUUAGAAACCCCGGUAGUCC
rnacentral:rRNA from 1 species